AUGGUAAAUUUUAUGUUAUAUAUACUUUGCCACAAUUAACAAAAAGAGUUAAUGUGGUACAAGAGAGGUUAUCCUAGGAGUUACACUUUUUUGUUAGAAUCUACUCCCCCCAUCCCACUCUCAUUCCCACACCAGCCAUCUCUUUCAGAGCCAUGUUGAUAUCUGGCCAUUCAAAAUAAUAUGCUUAUUUUGCAUGACAGACUCAUUUGACAGGUACUAUAAUAUCAUAGGCCAAUGUCUGAGUGGUUGUUUUCUGGGUAACCCAAACACUGAUCAAUCUCUACAGAGCCUGCCCUUACCCUAACAUGCCAUGAGUUGUCUCAGUCAAGAGACUUUUAAUAGAGUGCUCAGUCAUUGUGUAUGAGUAACAGAAGAAAAGGGUGAGUUACUGUCCUAAGUUUGCAGAGAGAAAAUUAGAACACAUAAGCCUGCCCAUGAAGUAGGGGUGCCAGAUUUAGCAAAUAAAAAUACAGGACACGUUGUUGUUUAUCUGAAAUUCAAAUUUAACUUGGCAUCUUGUAUUUUAUCUGGCAACAUGCUUAAGUACUGAAAGUUGAAGAGAAAAUAAGUCAAAUAAUCCAGAGUGUUCUGGGCUCACUGAGGUCUUACUUAACAGGGAGCCUAAACAGGAAAAAGUAAAAAAAGCUCCUUAAAAUGUAUUGGAUACCCCUAUCCCCCACUCCAAAAAUAAAAAAAAAAGUAUUGGUCUCCAGACACAAUGCCUAUGCUUAAUCCAACUCAGAAGCCCCUCCCUGCUUUGGGUUUCUAUGGUCCAAGACUUACUUUAUAAAGAUAGAUCAGAGGAUGGGAAAAAAAGAAAGUGAAGAAGGAUAAAUCAAAGCUAGAAAUGGGUGAGAACAUACUCAGCUUCCUGUUAGGCCUGGCCUCAAAAAGGGACUCAAUUUAAAAAAAAAUCAGAGGAAACUGGAUUGUGACCUGGCUCAACGUGGAAGAGAAACAAUGGUGGUAGGUGUCCUGUGGUCAUAUAGCAGUAGCACAGUUAACAGAAUACCUGGGAUAGUGGUGGGCUCUCUCUUCCUUCCCCAAAGCCAUAACACUGCCUCCUAAGAAACUCAAAUCACUAUUUUUACUGACUAAUACCCUGGGCCCCAGUUACAAUAAUGCCCGUACUGGUCAGGCAAGUACUUCUCGGCUUAACAACUCCUACAGCUUCCCAGCCAUUUUUCCAUCACUCUGCAAAAUCAUCUACUUCCUCACAGAACCUAGGUCAAAACUGAGGUCUCUGAACCCUGUCUUACCUUCAGGAAUCUCAAUCUGUUCAGGUUAUCCUCCUAAGAAUCAACAAAAACAGGUUUCAGGCUGUUCUUUGAGAAUGCCAUCUUUAAAAGACUCACAUUCUCAUCUAUUACUACUGAUCCUGUUCACAUAGUGGUAAUCCCUGCCUGACUCUGGCCUACCAAGAUAUAAAUGGCCCAUAUGGCCUGAUCAUACUACAGUAGAAUUUAGGAAUCUUUGAUAUCUAUCACACUAGGCCUGCCUGGGAUGUCUACCACUCCAGUCCCUGAGAAGUGUGAGUGGGCGUACCCAGGAGCUAAAGGGUAAAAUCAACAAGGUCCUUCAUUCCUCAACCUGUCCUGAAGCACCAGCUGACUACACUGAGUCAGCUUUAAAGGCUGUGGCUGGUCUCCAGAAUUUUUCCCCAGAGGGAGUAGUUAGUCGCUAGGGCAAGAGGAGCAGGUCACUUGGGCAAAGCUCUUUCAAGUUUAUCUGGGCACCUCUAAGGUACUUACCAGUAAGAAUUUCUGCAGCUCCCAACCCUCAUUUAUAUAUAUAUAUUUGUAAAUAGAACAUGAGUGGAAAACAGAUGAUACAUAGAAGGUCCUACCAGAAUGAAAUUAGAUUCAUGAAUUCAAAGACUGAAUAUAUUCAGUUUUAGGAUCCUGAUAUGAGCAUCACAAGUAAUCCCCCAGAUGCUCUUCCUUUCCACCCCGCCCCCCUUUCAUAUAACUGGAGACACCUUUCCCACCAAACCACUCUGCCUCACACCCUCUGCAUUGGGCUCAUUCAUUCAUUUAUACACCCAUCAAAUAUUUAACUGAGCUGAUAACAUGUGCCAGGCACUGUGCUUGGCGCUGGGGAUACAAAUGAAUACUGUAUGGUCUUUGCCUCCAGGAUUGUCCCGAGCCAGCCCUGAGCACGGGAUCACCGUGCCCUUCACAGCAGAGAACUCAUGCUCUUCCUGUUCCUCAUGGAAGGCAGGAUGUAUGUGGGACAUUGAGGAUCCUGUUGUCUCUUUCUUCCUAACAAAGCAUCUGGCAUAAAGUAUACUCUUAACAAACUGUGUGCAAGACUGGGAGUAAAGAUGUCCUGUAAGGACUUGGCCUGGGUUAUAAGCAUACUUCCUGGCUUGCAGGGUUGGCCACAGGGCUGGGCACCGGGACUCAGUCUGAGGAACUGACAGAUGGACAAACUACUGGCUGAUUUCUGCUAGGCCUCCAGAAGGACAGAGUAGAGGGGGAAAGAUUUAGGACAUCCCGAAUCAGCUUGGAUUCCAGUAUCCUGUAUCUAGAGAAGCUUGAACCUAUUCAUCUGCUGGAAGCCACUCUCAGAGAUCUUGCUCACUCUGCUGACUGCCACCCCCAAUUCUGCCCCCAAUAUGUCCCUGGCUUCCUCACACCAACCAUCAAA